CCUACGGGUGGCAGCAGUGAGGAAUAUUGGUCAAUGGGCUUACGCCUGACCCAGCCAAGUCGCGUGAGGGAAGACUGCCCUAUGGGUUGUAAACCUCUUUUGUCAGGGAGCAACGCCGGCUACGUGUAGCCGGACUGAGAGUACCUGAAGAAAAAGCAUCGGCUAACUCCGUGCCAGCAGCCGCGGUAAUACGGAGGCUGCGAGCGUUAUCCGGAUUUAUUGGGUUUAAAGGGUGCGUAGGCGGAAUGCCAAGUCAGCGGUAAAAUCGCGGGGCUCAACCUCGCUCCGCCGUUGAAACUGGCGUUCUUGAGUGGGCGAGAAGUAUGCGGAAUGCGUGGUGUAGCGGUGAAAUGCAUAGAUAUCACGCAGAACUCCGAUUGCGAAGGCAGCAUACCAGACUGCGACUGACGCUGAAGCACGAGAGCGUGGGUAGCGAACAGGAUUAGAUACCCCUGUAGUC
rnacentral:rRNA from 1 species